GACGAACGCUGGCGGCGUGCUUAACACAUGCAAGUCGAACGGAAAGGCCCUGCUUUUGUGGGGUGCUCGAGUGGCGAACGGGUGAGUAACACGUGAGUAACCUGCCCUUGACUUUGGGAUAACUUCAGGAAACUGGGGCUAAUACCGGAUAGGAGCUCCUGUUGCAUGGUGGGGGUUGGAAAGUUUCGGCGGUUGGGGAUGGACUCGCGGCUUAUCAGCUUGCUGGUGGGGUAGUGGCUUACCAAGGCUUUGACGGGUAGCCGGCCUGAGAGGGUGACCGGCCACAUUGGGACUGAGAUACGGCCCAGACUCCUACGGGAGGCAGCAGUGGGGAAUAUUGCACAAUGGGCGGAAGCCUGAUGCAGCAACGCCGCGUGCGGGAUGACGGCCUUCGGGUUGUAAACCGCUUUCGCCUGUGACGAAGCGUGAGUGACGGUAAUGGGUAAAGAAGCACCGGCUAACUACGUG
rnacentral:rRNA from 1 species